UAUUAAGCAAAGCCGGGUACAAGAGCCACCGCUUCGGCGCAACUCUGUCAUGGUGGCGCGAAUAUUCACCCAUGUUUUUGCGUACUUCUUGUUUCCUUGGUGGGCUUGCCCGCCAUGAGGACAUCAAAAACCCUUUGUAGUAGCAGUAACUUCAGUUAAUAAUAAAUAUUAAAACUUUCAACAACGGAUCUCUUGGUUCU
rnacentral:misc_RNA from 1 species